UACGUAGGGUGCGAGCGUUAAUCGGAAUUACUGGGCGUAAAGCGUGCGUAGGCGGUUCCUCAAGGUCCGUUGUGAAAGCCCCGGGCUCAACCUGGGAAUGGCAGUGGAAACUAGGGGACUGGAAUCUGGCAGAGGGGGUGGAAUGCCGCGUGUAGCAGUGAAAUGCGUAGAGAUGCGGCGGAACACCGAUGGCGAAGGCAGCCCCCUGGGCUGAGAUUGACGCUCAGGCACGAAAGCGUGGGGAGGCAAACAGG
rnacentral:rRNA from 1 species